rnacentral:rRNA from 1 species
AUUGAACGCUGGCGGCAGGCCUAACACAUGCAAGUCGAGCGGCAGCGGGAAAGUAGCUUGCUACUUUUGCCGGCGAGCGGCGGACGGGUGAGUAAUGCCUGGGAAAUUGCCCAGUCGAGGGGGAUAACAGUUGGAAACGACUGCUAAUACCGCAUACGCCCUACGGGGGAAAGCAGGGGACCUUCGGGCCUUGCGUGAUUGGAUAGGCCCAGGUGGGAUUAGCUAGUUGGUGAGGUAAUGGCUCACCAAGGCGACGAUCCCUAGCUGGUCUGAGAGGAUGAUCAGCCACACUGGAACUGAGACACGGACCAGACUCCUACGGGAGGCAGCAGUGGGGAAUAUUGCACAAUGGGGGAAACCCUGAUGCAGCCAUGCCGCGUGUGUGAAGAAGGCCUUCGGGUUGUAAAGCACUUUCAGCGAGGAGGAAAGGUUGAUGCCUAAUACGUAUCAACUGUGACGUUACUCGCAGAAGAAGCACCGGCUAACUCCGUGCCAGCCGCCGCAGUAAGAC